ACUAACUGCCCACCUGGGCUGUCCUAAGCCAAGCUAGAGCCAACCAUUGAUUUUGUGAGACACAGGAAGUGAGGUAGGGAACAGCCUCUGGAAUUCGCUCACUUCCUGUGGAGAGAGCGAGAGGGAGUUGGUGUUAGGAGCUUGGACAGAGAGGACGCCCGCAGACAGCUUUCCUUCAGAUCGGUCACGGAUACUAAUGUGCUGUUUAGAGUCCUUGUUUCUACUGAAGUGUGACACCAAUGGACUAAAUGGCAUUUCAAGGCUACUAUAAGUCAAGAAUACCUGACUGGGAUAAAGUUCUGACUCUGGCAAAUACUAUGUGACAAAAGGAAAGAGCCACCGAACUGCUCAGGGGUUCCAGCUACUACUACUUACUAAAAUGGUUCUAUUUAAAGAACCAAAAAACCUCUAGAAUGGUGGUGUUCAUUGGACAAAGCUCCAGGUCAUUUGAUUUAUGCAGGCGUUUCCAUCUGUAUCAAUUGGAAUGAAGUAAAAAAAGAAGAAGAAAGAGACGAGUUCCAGGCAUAAUAAAGAAAUAUGAAAUGUAGACUGGCA
rnacentral:lncRNA from 1 species